rnacentral:rRNA from 1 species
UACGUAGGUGGCAAGCGUUGUCCGGAAUUAUUGGGCGUAAAGCGCGCGCAGGCGGCCCCUUAAGUCUGAUGUGAAAGCCCCCGGCUCAACCGGGGAAGGUCAUUGGAAACUGAGAGGCUUGAGUACAGAAGAGGAAAGCGGAAUUCCACGUGUAGCGGUGAAAUGCGUAGAGAUGUGGAGGAACACCAGUGGCGAAGGCGGCUUUCUGGUCUGUAACUGACGCUGAGGCGCGAAAGCGUGGGGAGCAAACAGG